CUCCAACUUAACAAACACGGGGAGGCAACACUUGUAGAAGAAAUUGUUUGGAUUGAAAACAGAUGAAUUUACCUCUAGGAAUAAAUAACCCAGUCAAAAAGGACCAAAAAAAAUCUGAAGAUAAGAAGGACAAAUCUUGAAGAUGGGGGAUCUAUCAUUUUCUAGAGUUUACAGCAAAAAUUACUGAGUCCCCUGCUUCAUUUACUGACCUGCUAAUUGGGACAUUCAUCGCCAGCCACGCUCUGAGAAGCAGUCAGAUGGUGGUGAAGUGGAAGGACUUCAAAUCUCACGUAGAUGGAGAACAUCCUCAUGUUUUGUCCUGAAGUGUGUUCCUCCACGUGGCAAACAGACUUCUGCGUCUGAUCCUGGGACCCCUGGAGACCCGUGGGCCUCACAGCCCGCGCCUGGAGGACCAUCACCUUCAAGGGCAGGUGGAGCAAGUCUGAGCCAUCCUCUUCUCUUCCUUCACAGGGGAAGCAGAGGACAGAAGCAGAGGCUUGUUGGUAUCAGGGCAGGGGUCCCUAUUCUGGCAAAACCACCGAACCUCCUGGGCCAUGGCUAAGAAAGGGAUGCCACCAGCCUGUCAGAUGGCAGGCACAAAUCUGACCACAACGGACCCAAGCUGCCCAUGAGGGCAAGGAGACCCGGCCCCUAGAUGCCCUGUUGGCCUCAGGAAAGAGUGUUGAGCGUCCCUGCCCAGCCUCCACGUCACUCUCCAGGGGCCACUCCCCACACAAAGCCCUGCAGGGCCUCAGGGAGUCCAGUCAGAGCCAUGAGAUUGGCUUUCCCAGGAGAAAGGGCUGCAUUACUGCAGUGCGCUGCAGUGUGGGGAUGAGGUGAUAUUUUAAACCUUUAGUAAUAAAGAAGACUCCAGGAACUGGGAAGUGGUCCUCAGCAACUCCGCUGGGCCAAGAUAACCAGCACAGAUGGUGGCUUGAUUGGAGCAGCCCUGUGAGCUCUGAGCCCAUCUUUGAGAGGGGCGGUGACACAUCAGAAGCAGAGACUGACGAGAAGAGGAGGAGCAAACAAAUCGCAAGCAUGGAGAGGGACAGCAGUGUGUCCCCAGGACAAAGCAUGGCCCGCAUCCUUGGAGCCCGAGGGGCUGGUAAGCCUGAGACCACUUUUGGGGACAGAAUCUCUGCACAGGCUACUCGGAGGCACAUGGCAGUUUUUGCACCAAUCCUCCUUGAAACCUCUCUACUGCUCUCUGAAACCAGCAGCAUUCAUUUUGAAAGCCUAGACAGCCGCAGAGAAUAGGGUUCAAAUCCACAUGCCCAGCACAUGCAGGGUGGCCCGGCAGGUCCAUGCUGGAACAGGAAUGAGGUCAAGGCCAGCAGAGGCUGAGCACAGGGCCCCAGGACCGGUGCUCCGGAGACCCCACUAGGAAACGGAGAAAAGAGGAAGAGCAAAGGAAACCCCCGCAAAGCCUCUUGGAUUGCUGCAAGGUUCUCAGUUUUUAUUUUAACUUCAGUCUACUUUGAGCUUGAUUCUGCCUGUGCGAGCAGUGGUGACUGAAUAAAGCUGAGUCUUGAGAGAUGCUGCCCUUUGACUAGAGCUUGCUGAAAUGAUCUUUCCCUCAAAACUGGAACCAGAUCUGACAAUCAAAUGAGUUCAUCGAAGUCACUGAAAAACCUGAAUUAAUGACCAAAAGUUGCACAUGUUCACCAUGUCGGAGACUGCUUACAUCCUCAACGUGUCACCGCACCUUUGCCUGCAUGUUUGUAGGCAGAACGGCCUACGGGGGGGUCCUGAGGCUGUGCUGGCCCGGCACCCUGAGACCCUCGUCCUGGGACCCUGUCUCCAGAGAGCGAGGGACCACAGCAGAUGAGGCUCCGUUGGGGGGGCAGCACCCCUCUCCCAGGUGGGUGCAGCCUCUGAAUCCGAGCCCGCAGCUGCACGCAGAACCACACGGCUGAGUCAGGGAUCUUCACCCCACUCGGUGCACACAGCAGGCCGUGUCACCAGCUACCCGGGAGCAUCACGAGGUUGUCCAGGCAGAUGCACAUGCCAGACCCCUCUGUGAGUCUCACGGUUUAUCAACCUUCUCAUGAGCAUGACAGUCCUGAGGUUCACACCAUGUCUGGGACCCUAGCACACGAAGUCCAGAGCACUCGGAGGCUUGGCUCCCCGGGGACGGCUGCAGGCCAAGCCAAGGAGUCACGGUUGGUGGUUGGACAGUCUGCACACUCGAGGUGCCAAGUGUCUCGACGAAUCUGGGUGAGCCUCACGCAGGUGGCUGGGUGACCCUCACUGCGCGGGCAGCAGUCAGUGCGGCUGGGUGGCCUGCGGCUUGUGAUCCCCGCAUGGAUGCUGAUGGGCUGAAGCAUUCUGCUUUUUUACCACUAGAAUCCCCACCUCACCGUCUCUGCCCUAAGUGAGACGGAGCCACCUGGAGUCAUGAGGCCGGGCACUCACAGCGUCCGCACAGUGCCUGGCCUGGCUGGUGGCCUUGGCCUCACUGAGGACGGUCCAAGAGGGAGUCGCCCACCCUAAGGGGCAGUGCUUGCGCUCAUACGCACAGGGACCCGGAAAUGCGGCUGGGAAGAUUCCCCACACAUCUGAAAAUGAGGCCACUUCUCAUUUCUCACUCCAUCAACAAAUGUUUACCUCCUACAAAAUUGGAAUUGCAAAGAGCUAAUAGGAGAGAAACUGAAGCAGGGACAAGGAAGGAGAGGGAGAAGGUGCAGGAGGCAUCAAAUCGCGUGACUAAUGAACAUUUACCUCCUCCAAACACAACAUGGCUUCAGUUACUUCCCUGUAAAAAGAGUUAAAGUCAAGUUAAUGUGUUAGUGCCAAAGAGAAAGUGGCAAAAUCCAUCUGUGGAAUUCAAUAUUUGGCAGUGAAAUACACAAAUGUACUUGUUAACUAAAUUAGUGUUCUGAAAAUAAGGAUGGUGACAUUACUCACAAAACUACGUCACUGUUCUUGGGAGAGUUUUCAAGGCUUUGGAUAUUUUUAAAAGGGGAAAAGAGGAGGAGGGAAGAGAGAAAGAAAGAAAGAAAGAAGAAAGAAAGAGGAAGAGGAAAGAGAGAGAGAGAGAAAGAGAGAGAGAGAAGGAGGAAGAACAAACUACUCUUUACUGGCUGGGAGUAGCUUAAAAUAAAACGUGUGUUCAACAGGUUCUGCACAGUUAGGUGAGUUUGGGUCCCGAGAGUAUCUUUCCAGGAAGCACGGAGAGAGGCUCAGUGUGGACUGUCCACGGGCCCGGCCCCCAAGACUCCUCUGUGCCUUCCUGAGCCCCUUGCCAGGCCCCUGGAAGAUGCUCCCAGAUAUCCUGUGACAACCGCUGAUGGACGGUUUGUUUUGCCAACCUGUCCGAGUAAUCCGAUCGUUUGCUGAUUUAAGGCAAGCUCUUUAUUUGGAAACAUCAAAUGUGUUUUAUUGUACACAUCCCUGUCAGGGACUGUCCUGCCGAUGUGCAGGCUUGUGUGCAUUUCAGUAAAUCAGCCGUGUAAGUAUCAAGGAGAAAUCCGCUCCGGGCUUGGGGAAUGGGGGCGUUGGAACAUGCAGACAGGGGCAGGGGGCACUCGGGCCCUGGCAGCAUUCCUGGGAGGUGUCAAUGACUUUAAGCCUGUCAGGAAUGUCUCUGGUUUACCCAGGAAAGACAACUCAUGGUUAGUCAAAAGGAGCAACGGUUCCUACCAGUGAGCCAAUGAUCAAGGGACAGAGCAAAAGCUUUGUUGCCACUUCGGAAAGAUGCGCUGUGGACUUUAACCCCCGUGUUUGAAGUCAGCUUUGAAAGCCUGCAGAGGUUUGCGGGGUCAGAGGCUGCUCUGUGGAGGGCACAGCACACUGACUGUAAAUGCCAGGGAGGAGAAUGGCAGGGCCAGGGGGCAGAGCUGUGGAGCAGGUGGCCCUCUCUCCCCCCAGAUCCCACCCACAGCACAUGGAAGCUCUCACCAGCCAGGACUGCUGAAGCCUCACAGUACUUUUCCCAAAGGGCUCAUGAUGUUUUCGUAUGCAGGAGUCCUGGGCAUUGUCGUCAUUAGCAUAGAAAUUCACAAACAGAGGUGCUUCUGGUGGCUUCACCCUAAUCUGUCUGCAGCUCUCCCCUGCUGCAUGGGGGAAGUGCAGGAAACCCCCAGAGCGCCAAGACCUGGUCUCUCUCGGGGCCAACUUAGGGUGUGGCCUGUUUUUUGGUGGGACCGUGAGAUCCUGCAGAACUUUUCAAGAGAGAUCAGGUUGGCCCCAGAGGGACCACAACCUCCUGCGGCACAGCCAUGGCCUUUCUUAGUCUGGGGUCCCCAAAGGGUUGGGAUUUGGGGGCGCAGAGAGACUGGAGAGCAGAAGGUUCCCUGUUCCACUUCUCUUGGAUAUUUAUGAGCCCUUUUCUUGGUACCUACCUUGGCCUGGUCUUAACCCUAAAUCCAACUAGAGCUAACCCAGACCCUGUUCCGGCAGGGCAGUGUCACUAGCUGAUUUCACAUAUUCUGUCCGUCCACUAGCCGAUUCUGUCUACAAAACACCAUGCCAGGCCAGCAUGGUUCCCAGAGAUUUGAUCCCCUGCGGAAUGAUGGAGCAUCCACGUCACUUUCCUGAGGGGCUGGCCGGCAUGAGCUCUCCCUGAGCAAGGGCUUACACCGUGUCUAUUCCCUCUGUUUCAUUUUUGCUCAAGUUUAAGUAACAAAAACAAUGCUUCAGCCUUUGAAGGAAUAUGAACAUAGUGGACCAGGCCCUGUGUUGGACAUCUGCAGGGAGCCACGAGCAUUGUUCUUCUCCAAGCUGAACGUCAGUCCCGACAGACAGUGGAACCAGCAGGUACCAGGGACAUCACUCCUGCGAAGCCCACAGAACCUGGGGCAGGAAGCACGUAGAUUAUGUAUCCAACGUGACCAGAACUGCAGUCUUUGUAAAUAAAGUCUUUGUAAAUAGGGAAGGGUGGAGGCCGUGAA